ensembl:lncRNA
UUUUUAAUAUGCUGUCUAGGUUGGUCAUAACUUUCCUUCUAACUGCCUACCUAAUACAUUGGCCUGGUCUAUUUGUACUUCUAUUUGUUAACUAGGGCCAAUGAGGAAAUCGAAGAAAAAGUAGGGUGGGAACCUGAGCUCAGGUGUAGCUCACUGAGAAGCAGCCACGAAUCAGUUCUGGUUGGAAGCCAACAUCUUCAUGGAAUUUUCCAAAGUGCAUCGUCAGUUUUUGUAUUAAGAAAACAAUGCACAAACCAGUAGUGAGAGACAUUGCCAUUUUCAACAGGGAGUAUAUAAUGCAUGAAAAGAGGAAGAGCCGCCUGUGAUAAGGCAGCCGUGGACGGCCUGUCCCACUGCUGUCAGUCUGCUGGGAAGUAGAAAGAGGCCGUGCUUGCACUGUGUGCUCAAUCCUCUCGGCCACACUCAGC